GAUGAACGCUGGCGGCGUGCCUAAUACAUGCAAGUCGAGCGAACAGACGAGGAGCUUGCUCCUCUGACGUUAGCGGCGGACGGGUGAGUAACACGUGGAUAACCUACCUAUAAGACUGGGAUAACUUCGGGAAACCGGAGCUAAUACCGGAUAAUAUAUUGAACCGCAUGGUUCAAUAGUGAAAGACGGUUUUGCUGUCACUUAUAGAUGGAUCCGCGCCGCAUUAGCUAGUUGGUAAGGUAACGGCUUACCAAGGCAACGAUGCGUAGCCGACCUGAGAGGGUGAUAGGCCACACUGGAACUGAGACACGGUCCAGACUCCUACGGGAGGCAGCAGUGGGGAAGAUUGGGCAAUGGGCGAAAGCCUGACGGAGCAAUGCCGCGUGAGUGAUGAAGGUCUUCGGAUCGUAAAACUCGUUUAUUAGGGAAGAACAAAAGUGGAAUGAAACAUGGCUGUCUUGACGGUAACGAAUGAGAAAGCAACGGCUAACUACGUG
rnacentral:rRNA from 1 species